UCGCAACGUCACAGCCCUGGAGUGUGCCCAAUUUCAUCAGAUCUCGGAAGCUAAGCUGGCUUGAGCCUGGACAGUGAUUGGAUGGGUGACCACCAUGCACAUGUGGGUACGAUAGGCU
rnacentral:rRNA from 1 species